rnacentral:rRNA from 1 species
GAUGAACGCUAGCUACAGGCUUAACACAUGCAAGUCGAGGGGCAGCAUUUCAGUUUGCUUGCAAACUGGAGAUGGCGACCGGCGCACGGGUGAGUAACACGUAUCCAACCUGCCGAUAACUCGGGGAUAGCCUUUCGAAAGAAAGAUUAAUACCCGAUGGUAUAAUCAGACCGCAUGGUCUUGUUAUUAAAGAAUUUCGGUUAUCGAUGGGGAUGCGUUCCAUUAGGCAGUUGGUGAGGUAACGGCUCACCAAACCUUCGAUGGAUAGGGGUUCUGAGAGGAAGGUCCCCCACAUUGGAACUGAGACACGGUCCAAACUCCUACGGGAGGCAGCAGUGAGGAAUAUUGGUCAAUGAGCGCAGGCCUGAACCAGCCAAGUAGCGUGAAGGAUGACUGCCCUAUGGGUUGUAAACUUCUUUUAUAUGGGAAUAAAGUUUUCCACGUGUGGAAUUUUGUAUGUACCAUAUGAAUAAGGAUCGGCUAACUCCGUGCCAGCAGCCGCGGUAAUACGGAGGAUCCGAGCGUUAUCCGGAUUUAUUGGGUUUAAAGGGAGCGUAGGUGGACAGUUAAGUCAGUUGUGAAAGUUUGCGGCUCAACCGUAAAAUUGCAGUUGAUACUGGCUGUCUUGAGUACAGUAGAGGUGGGCGGAAUUCGUGGUGUAGCGGUGAAAUGCUUAGAAAUCACGAAGAACUCCGAUUGCGAAGGCAGCUCACUGGACUGCAACUGACACUGAUGCUCGAAAGUGUGGGUAUCAAACAGGAUUAGAUACCCUGGUAGUCCACACAGUAAACGAUGAAUACUCGCUGUUUGCGAUAUACAGUAAGCGGCCAAGCGAAAGCAUUAAGUAUUCCACCUGGGGAGUACGCCGGCAACGGUGAAACUCAAAGGAAUUGACGGGGGCCCGCACAAGCGGAGGAACAUGUGGUUUAAUUCGAUGAUACGCGAGGAACCUUACCCGGGCUUAAAUUGCAUUUGAAUAUAUUGGAAACAGUAUAGCCGUAAGGCAAAUGUGAAGGUGCUGCAUGGUUGUCGUCAGCUCGUGCCGUGAGGUGUCGGCUUAAGUGCCAUAACGAGCGCAACCCUUAUCUUUAGUUACUAACAGGUCAUGCUGAGGACUCUAGAGAGACUGCCGUCGUAAGAUGUGAGGAAGGUGGGGAUGACGUCAAAUCAGCACGGCCCUUACGUCCGGGGCUACACACGUGUUACAAUGGGGGGUACAGAAGGCAGCUACCUGGUGACAGGAUGCUAAUCCCAAAAGCCUCUCUCAGUUCGGAUCGAAGUCUGCAACCCGACUUCGUGAAGCUGGAUUCGCUAGUAAUCGCGCAUCAGCCAUGGCGCGGUGAAUACGUUCCCGGGCCU